rnacentral:rRNA from 1 species
UGGGGAAUUUUGGACAAUGGGCGAAAGCCUGAUCCAGCAAUGCCGCGUGUGUGAAGAAGGCCUUCGGGUUGUAAAGCACUUUUGUCCGGAAAGAAAUGGCUCUGGUUAAUACCUGGGGUCGAUGACGGUACCGGAAGAAUAAGGACCGGCUAACUACGUGCCAGCAGCCGCGGUAAUACGUAGGGUCCAAGCGUUAAUCGGAUUUACUGGGCGUAAAGCGUGCGCAGGCGGUUGUGCAAGACCGAUGUGAAAUCCCCGAGCUUAACUUGGGAAUUGCAUUGGUGACUGCAAGGCUAGAGUGUGUCAGAGGGGGGUAGAAUUCCACGUGUAGCAGUGAAAUGCGUAGAGAUGUGGAGGAAUACCGAUGGCGAAGGCAGCCCCCUGGGAUAACACUGACGCUCAUGCACGAAAGCGUGGGGAGCAAACAGG